rnacentral:rRNA from 1 species
GACGAACGCUGGCGGCGUGCCUAAUACAUGCAAGUCGAGCGAGCCGAACCAGUAGAUUCACUUCGGUGAUGACGCUGGGAACGCGAGCGGCGGAUGGGUGAGUAACACGUGGGUAACCUGCCCUAAAGUCUGGGAUACCACUUGGAAACAGGUGCUAAUACCGGAUAACAGCAAUAGCUGCAUGGCUAUUGCUUAAAAGGCGGCGUAAGCUGUCGCUAAAGGAUGGACCCGCGGUGCAUUAGCUAGUUGGUAAGGUAACGGCUUACCAAGGCGACGAUGCAUAGCCGAGUUGAGAGACUGAUCGGCCACAUUGGGACUGAGACACGGCCCAA